UCUUAUGAAUGAGCAAAGAAAGUGGUCUCCUGAGAUGGCAUCUACUCCUAGUGAAGAUGCUGUGAA
rnacentral:pre_miRNA from 3 species